GACAGAGGGUGCAAACGUUGUUCGGAAUUACUGGGCGUAAAGCGUGUGUAGGCGGCCAGGCAAGUCGGGUGAAAGCCCCAGGCUCAACCUGGGAAGUGCACCCGAAACUGCUUGGCUUGAGUAUCGGAGAGGUUGGUGGAAUUCUCGGUGUAGAGGUGAAAUUCGUAGAUAUCGAGAGGAACACCGGUGGCGAAGGCGGAUCUCUGGGCCUUACCUGACGCUGAGGCGCGAAAGCUAGGGGAGCGAACAGG
rnacentral:rRNA from 1 species